rnacentral:snoRNA from 1 species
AAUCCCAUUAUCUUUCCAUCAGACGAUUUUCAUGUCACUGAUGCCUUAAAAUGGGAGAAAUUAUCAGCUUGAGUAGAAAACAGGAAUUAUCUCCCCGGAGGUACAUCACGCUCUAUUGAACGACAUUU